ensembl:snoRNA
UGCCUUGUUUUUAGUGAAUUUUACCCAUUUUCAUGGGUGAAAUGAGUGUCGCAUGGCUACAGAAACUCAGGUUUGCUUUCAUCACUACGUGACCGUUGUAGUGGUGACAAUGAGGCCUGGAACAUUC